UACGUAGGGUGCAAGCGUUGUUCGGAAUUACUGGGCGUAAAGCGCACGUAGGCGGCUUUGUAAGUUAGAGGUGAAAGCCCGGAGCUCAACUCCGGAAUUGCCUUUAAGACUGCAUCGCUCGAAUCAUGGAGAGGUGAGUGGAAUUCCGAGUGUAGAGGUGAAAUUCGUAGAUAUUCGGAAGAACACCAGUGGCGAAGGCGACUCACUGGACAUGUAUUGACGCUGAGGUGCGAAAGCGUGGGGAGCAAACAGG
rnacentral:rRNA from 1 species